CAGACUGUGUGUUGCACUUUGAGGCUACACUUGCCUGGAAGCAAGCCCCAUUGAAAUCCGUGAGCCUUACUUCCGAGUAAAGAUGGUUAGAACGGGGCUGAAGAGGACGACUAGAGAAAGACAGGCAAAGUGAAGCCAUCGCAGUGAGUCCAACCUUCCGGGGCUGCUGCCCGGCCCCACACGCCCGAGUCGCACGGAUUGCUGCUGGAGGAGCAACCGGCCGCCCCUCCCCCCGCUUCCUCUCCCUGCGAGCAUGGAAGGGGCGGAGCUCCCGAGCCAGACAAUGCCCGCUGAGCAGCCACGGUUCCCCCCACGUGGUUGAACGCUGGCGAGAAACCUUGAGCCUCGCUUCCUGUGCGCCGGACCCAAGUGAGAACUGCCUCCCCUCUCUCCGGCUGGCCUGAAGGCUUCGGCGCAAUCAAAGCCUCGAGUCGACGCCGUUCCUCCGAAGACCUUAGGCGACCGGCUCACAGUGGGAGGCUGAACAAGAAUCCUUAACAUCAAGGACGCAUCUGAGUGAAAUUCCCCAAGGAAGAGUCUUUCCUUACUCUAUUGCAAAAGAAAAUUACAAGCAAUAAUACAGAUCAGAGGAGGGGGGAAAAAUCUGAAAACUGCUGGAAAGUUAAUGGGCUAGAACAUCAGCCAAAUGAAAGGGAAUGGAACACUUCCAGAAGGAACCAAAGGAGUACCACAAGUCUUAAAUGUACAUUUCCUAGUCCUACAAACCCUGUUUUCUAAGUCGAAUAGCGUUGGGAUUUCUGCUUAGAUCAAAACACAACCAAGAGUCCUGUGGCAGCUUAGAGGCUAACAACUAUAAUUGUGGUAUAAGUUUUUGUAACCCGCUUGUUCAGAUGCCAACUGUCCCUUUCAUAUUAGCAAAUACGUGAUCUGCAGCCUGGUAAUUGUAUCUGGUUCUCAGGUUUUACCCCCAACAAAGAGUUAUUUUUGCUUACAAUGGGCUGUCUUCCCUUUACUGCACCUUUUGUGGGCUUUCACUACAAUUUUUGCUUUGAGGAUUUUGCAUUUCGCAUCAUGGAGUUUUUUUGCAAAAGCCUUUUGGCAGCAUUGAAAUAGUUUUUUGGUAACUCUUCUGCAGCCAGAUGCUUUUUUUUGGUUGUAAUUGCAGAAGAAGCUGGGCAGUUGAUCCAAGAUAUAAGUAAGGACAGAUUCUUCUGGAGAGGAGAGUUUCAUGGAAGCUCAGCCACAGCCGAGAAUCCCCGGAAUAAGGAAGCAGUAUCCUUGCCCUGAUUGUGGGAGGAAUUUCAAGCGGAACUCACACCUCGUUCGACAUAAGAGGCUCCACACAGGAGAGAAACCCUACAAAUGUCCUGAUUGUGGGAAAAGCUUCAGGCAAAGCACUGAUGUUAAUACACAUCGGAGAAUCCAUACAGGAGAAACACCCUAUCGGUGUAACCAAUGUGGGAAAAGCUUUCGGUACAGAUCAGGUCUCCUGAAACAUUUGAGAUGCCAUGAAGGAGAGACAACUUAUAAUUGCUUGGAAUGUGGGAAAAGCUUCAGCCAGAGUUUGGUUUCAACCCUUCAAGGAUGUCAGGAGGGGAUGAACCCCUACAAAUGCCCUGAAUGUGAAGAAAAUGUUCAAAUGAACUCAAAUCUCAUUGUACAUCUAACAGCCACUGCAGCAGGAGAACCCUAUAUAUGUCCCGACUGUGGAAAGAGCUUUGGCUGCAGUUUCCAACUGAUUAGACAUAGGAGUCUCCAUACCCGAUUUCUGAUCCCUAAUCCUGAUACUCUCUGCAGCCUGGACCAAGGUAUUGAACCUUUACUAUCAGAUUGUCAAGAUACAGAGGAACGAGAGAAUUCAGGAAGUAUCUGUGAAGCGGGUGAUGACACUGUGACAAAGAAGCAUGAAGAGGAGAAUCCCCAGCAAGAGUGCUUUUCUUUUACAAAAUCUCACAUGACAUUAUUGGAAAGACUCCAAGGACUUGCUCCCCAAAGACCCCCAAAGGCUGAUAUGGAGAGGCCAAAGCUUAAAAGGUGGCAAUGGAAACGGUCAGGGAAAACUAGAGAUGAAUCUACAAAGAAUGGGACCCCUGGCUCCCCGGAAUGUGAGAGUCUUCUCUGUUCAGACAGAAAGCACCUGUGUUUUGUAUGUGGGAAAAGGUUUCGUUAUGAAUCCCACCUCGUUGCACAUGAACGGAUCCACACAGGAGAGAAACCCUUUCAGUGCAGCACCUGUAAGAAAAAUUUCCGUGACAGAUCAGACCUCGGUAAACACCAGAAAAUCCAUGCUGGAGAGAAACCCUACAAAUGUCUUGAGUGUGGCAAAAGCUUCCACCAUCAGUUGACUUUUAUUCGACAUCAGAGGAUUCACCCCCGAGAGGCUGCCUCUGAACAGAGCUGUGUGUAUUUUGCAAUCCUGCCUUCAUAUCAUACGGGUGUAGAAAUUAGCAUGGGGGCCGAAACAGAAUCUCCAGAGGCUCUCAACUUUCAUUUUAAACAAAAAGAGCCCAGUUCUCUAUGGACUCUGGAAGUGACAGAAGGGACACAAGUAUAUUUGGCUCCCACAUAGAAGCUAUGUCUACAGGGAACAAAAUGCAGGGCGAGGAAGAGAGAACAGCUUUUCCAUUUGCAUACUUAACUGUGAUGAAGUAGUGGGUAUACAGGAGGUGGAGAUCUUUCAGAAGGGAUUCCUUGAGUAUUUGGAAUCAACUUGAAUGCUGUUGAACAGAUGCCAAGAAAUCAUGUUCCAAGAUCCACACCUGGGAGAAAAUGCAGGGCAGUGGUAGAAGAUCUUGCAGGAGAGGGGUUGUAAAUUCUUGGCACCUGCCAAAAGUUUGAUCAGAAUUGUGUGCCAGCUUAGAAUCCAUAUGGUUAAGAAACAAGAGGUGCUCUGCAUUGUUAGAAAAGUUGCAAACGAUACUGACAUAUCAAACACUUCACAUUCCUGAGGCUUAUCAGCCAAAGCACUGAUUCUUGGAAAAUCUUUACAUUCAAAUGCUCAGCUGUAAAGAACACAAUGGGAGACCCAUACAAAUUCACUGCCCCUCUGAAAGUAUUCCAUGAAAGAGUUCUCAUGGGUGUGAGAGAUUGCCUCUCCCUCCAAAUCCUAAAUUUACUGAAGUCUUUCUCUCUUGCUCACUUUUUUUUGACAGACAUAGACCUUUUUCUCACAAUCUCGUGAGUGGGUUUGAGGGCCCCAGCCCCCCAGAAAUCCCAUAAUGCACUGCACAAUCCCCCAGCAACAGCUAGGAGCCUGCUCAUGUGUCAGCGCUAGCUGGGAGCAGCCGCUGCUGACACAUGAACAGUUUGCCCGGGUGAAGGGCACACUCGCUCCCCUAACCUCGGCUUGCGGGCUCCUUAGGCAGGUCUGCUGCCAAGAGCUACACAGCUCCUGGUGGUUCUCACAGGCAGCCAAUCCCAGGUUUAGCUGCUUGCCUCAUACAUUGAUGAAGAAAUCAGGCUGGUAUUCCAUAACUAAGGCAGAUAAUAUAUUCUGUGUAAAAGAUGGGAAAUGCACCUUGGGGGUGUGGCUUUAAUCUGGUCUGACUUCUGCACUGUGUGUCUGUGUAGAGUCUGAUUGUAUUGUUGUUCAAUGGACAAAUGAAAGCUGUUGCAGGUUAGUUCUGAAAUGUAUAACACUGUAGCCCUAUUCACACAUUAUUUUCACACAAAUGCUUGUACAUGUGUACAGACAUCUAUACAAACAACAUGAUGUCUGAAUAGGGUUUAUAUAUUGCCAUAAACCGCCCAUCCAGGCACAGUCCAUGCCCUUUGUUGCUCUCUUUAGCAUCAUGCAAUGGUAAAGGGAGUAAGUUGUCAGUGGUAUAAAAAUAGCAAGUCAGGUCAUUGACUUGCAGUUAGAACUAAUAGACCUUCACCCUAUCCAAGAAUUCUGCAGAUGCAUUUGCCUGUUCUAGGGAGACCCUCCUAAUUAUUCCUAGUGUGGGAUUACUUUCUUCCUGUGUGCAAACUUUAUUUUAUGUCAAAGAAGACACAUUAGACAGAACCUGUAGGAUAGAUUAUUCCACCCUGUGUAAAGGUUUCACAUAUGCUGGGAGAAAGCAUAUGGGUGCUCUUAAGUGUAGGAAAAUGUUUCCUUAGCAAAUCAUACCACUAUCAUAAUGUCCAUAGGAGAGAUAAAUCACAGCAAGGCAGUGUUUGCAUAUACCUAAUCACCAUUUAAAGCAGGGCUGCUCAACUCAUCCCCACCCCCUGCUGUUUUUGGACUACAGCUCCCAGCAUCCCCAGCCACAGUGGCCAGUAGUCAGGCAUGAUGGGGGUUGUAGGCCAACAUCUGCAGCAGGGCCAAAGUUGAGCAGCCCUGAUUUAAAGCAUGCACAAAAUGUACCUACCUAGUCUCUUGAGCAGAAAUAUAUUAUAAGCCCAUUCACACAUUGUUCAACACUCAUACAAUGAGUGUACAGUGUAAGCAGGUACAGAUCUGUACACAGGUACAGUCAUUCACAUGUUAUGUUGAACGCAGAUACAGAAGUACAUUUCCGAUCUGGAUGCAUUUGAAGGCCCUGUAUCCAGCUUCACUUUUAAAAUGAACCCAGGUACAGUCAUUCACACAAACUCAUGUACGAGUGUACAGACAUCUGUAUACUCGUACAGCAUAAUGUCUGAAAUCGGGCUUAUAUGGAGGGUAACCCUCAAACAUUACUUGAACUUGAAUUUGCUUGGAAAUGUUUACAUUUGCCCAAAUUGAUUAAAAAAGACACACACACACACACACUUGCAGUCAGGAUACAAUUGGACUGAGGAGCUGGGAGGGAGAAGAGUGUAAGUCAUGGAUUUUGUCAAGCUAAUACUUGAUGAUACUGCCUUUAUGAGAGUAACCAAGCAGACAUGGGGCUAUGAGAGUUCUUGGCUGUAUAAACAUCCCUGUGCUAGGAGAUGCAGCAGAUCCCCAGCCAUCCUCAAACAUGCCUGGGGUUGAGAGAGUGCACAGCUCAGCUGCCAUCCAGUGGCUCUCAAUGUGGCUUCUAGCCAGGGGAUGGAGUGCCAGGUGUGUGUGGCUUCUAGGCUGUUGCUGUGCUCUCUGCAACCUGCAUGUCAGGAAGGGCUGUAGCUCAGUGGUAGAGCAGACCCGUUGGGUGCCAAAUGUCCCUAGCAUCUUCAGGUAGGACUGGAAAGAGCCCUCUCUGAGACCCUGAAGAGCCACUGUCAGUCAGAGUAGAUGGUACUGAGCCAGAGGAACCAAUCAGGAGUCUGGCAGCACCUUUGUACGUCCGCAUGCUUUGAGUCUGGAGCAUCACUGCAAGACCCCGCAACACUGUUGGGUGUGGCUCAGGCCCUUAUCGCUUCGAAAAGUGUCUCUGGAAAACAUUUUAGAAAAUAAAAUUCUGCUCACCCUGGC